rnacentral:rRNA from 1 species
AGAGUUUGAUCCUGGCUCAGAUUGAACGCUGGCGGCAUGCCUUACACAUGCAGGUCGAACGGCAGCGCGGACUUCGGUCUGGCGGCGAGUGGCGAACGGGUGAGUAAUGCAUCGGAACGUACCUUUCAGUGGGGGAUAACGUAGCGAAAGUUACGCUAAUACCGCAUAUUCUGUGAGCAGGAAAGCAGGGGAUCGCAAGACCUUGCGCUGAUGGAGCGGCCGAUGUCAGAUUAGCUAGUUGGUGGGGUAAAGGCUCACCAAGGCGACGAUCUGUAGCGGGUCUUAGAGGAUGAUCCGCCACACUGGAACUGAGACACGGUCCAGACUCCUACGGGAGGCAGCAGUGGGGAAUUUUGGACAAUGGGCGCAAGCCUGAUCCAGCCAUGCCGCGUGAGUGAAGAAGGCCUUCGGGUUGUAAAGCUCUUUCGGCCGGGAAAAAAUCGCUUGGGUUAAUACCCUGAGUGGAUGAUGGUACCGGAAUAAGAAGCACCGGCUAACUACGUGCCAGCAGCCGCGGUAAUACGUAGGGUGCGAGCGUUAAUCGGAAUUACUGGGCGUAAAGCGUGCGCAGGCGGUUUUGUAAGACAGGCGUGAAAUCCCCGGGCUCAACCUGGGAACUGCGUUUGUGACUGCAAGGCUAGAGUAUGGCAGAGGGGGGUGGAAUUCCACGUGUAGCAGUGAAAUGCGUAGAGAUGUGGAGGAACACCAAUGGCGAAGGCAGCCCCCUGGGCCAAUACUGACGCUCAUGCACGAAAGCGUGGGGAGCAAACAGGAUUAGAUACCCUGGUAGUCCACGCCCUAAACGAUGUCAACUAGGUGUUGGGUGGGUAAAACCAUUUGGUACCGUAGCUAACGCGUGAAGUUGACUGCCUGGGGAGUACGGCCGCAAGGUUAAAACUCAAAGGAAUUGACGGGGACCCGCACAAGCGGUGGAUGAUGUGGAUUAAUUCGAUGCAACGCGAAAAACCUUACCUACCCUUGACAUGCCAGGAACUUGCCAGAGAUGGCUUGGUGCCCGAAAGGGAGCCUGGACACAGGUGCUGCAUGGCUGUCGUCAGCUCGUGUCGUGAGAUGUUGGGUUAAGUCCCGCAACGAGCGCAACCCUUGUCGUUAAUUGCCAUCAUUUAGUUGGGCACUUUAACGAGACUGCCGGUGACAAACCGGAGGAAGGUGGGGAUGACGUCAAGUCCUCAUGGCCCUUAUGGGUAGGGCUUCACACGUCAUACAAUGGUCGGUACAAAGGGUUGCCAAGCCGCGAGGCGGAGCCAAUCCCAGAAAGCCGAUCGUAGUCCGGAUCGCAGGCUGCAACUCGCCUGCGU